GAUGAACGCUGGCGGCGUGCCUAAUACAUGCAAGUCGAGCGGACGGACGAGACGCUUGCUUCUCUGAUGUUAGCGGCGGACGGGUGAGUAACACGUGGAUAACCUACCUAUAAGACUGGGAUAACUUCGGGAAACCGGAGCUAAUCCCGGAUAAUAUUUUGAACCGCGUGGUUCAAAAGUGAAAGACGGUCUUGCUGUCACUUAUAGAUGGAUCCCCGCUGCAUUAGCUAGUUGGUAAGGUAAAGGCUUACCAAGGCAACGAUGCAUAGACGGAGUGAGAGGGGGGUCGGCCACAUUGGAAGGGGAACAGCGACAUGACUCCUGAGGGAGGGAGCAGACGGGAACGGGACGCAGGAGUGGAAAACAUGACAGAGCAAGGCGGAGUGAGUGAUGGAGGCGUCCGGUGCGGGAAGCUCUGUUAUGGGGGAAGAACAGAUGUGGAAGUAACCGAAGAGAGCUUGACGGUACCGAGUCAAGAAGCACCGGCUAACUACGUG
rnacentral:rRNA from 1 species